rnacentral:tmRNA from 1 species
GGGGGCGACCUGGCUUCGACGUGGGUAGCGAAACCUUAAGUGCAUGCCGAGGACUGUACACCUCGUAAAUCCUACAGAAAAAAAGUAUUCGCAAACGACGAAAACUACUCAGUGGCUUUAGCAGCUUAAAACCUGCACCACUUCUCUGACUGUGUGUGCUUAUGCGCGCAGAGUCCUUCGGGGCAUUCAGGGAUCAUAUUACAUAAGAUCGCGUCAGGGCUUAGUUCGGAGCUCGAAGCGCUAAAUCCAAUCGAAAUCGCUGUUGAUCCUCUUGGCCCGACGGGUAGUCAACAGUUAAAUUAAAAGUGCGGGAUAAGCAUGUAGACCUUACGGCGGAGUGCUUGCGGACGCGGGUUCAAUUCCCGCCGCCUCCACCA